rnacentral:rRNA from 1 species
GAUGAACGCUGGCAGAAUGCUUAACACAUGCAGUCACUGAGUGUGGCGGACGGGUGAGUAACGCGUACAGAACUUACCUCACAGUUAGGGACAACAUUUGUAAACGAAUGCUAAUACCUAAUACUGUGAGAGAGCUUUGCGUCACAUUAGCUAGUUGGAGAGGUAACGGCUCACCAAGGCGAGGAUGGGUAGCCGGCCUGAGAGGGUGAUCGGCCACAAGGUGACUGGGACACGGCCCUUACUGCUUCGGGAGGAAGGAGCGGGGAAUAGUGGACAAUGGACCAAAGUCUGAUCCAGCAAUUCUGGGUGCACGAUGAAGUUUUCGGAAUGUAAAGUGCUUUCAGUUGGGAAGCGGUACCAACAGAAGAAGUGACGGCUAACUACGUGCCAGCAGCCGCGGUAAUAC